rnacentral:lncRNA from 1 species
AUUUUAUACUACAGCUGUAAAAACACGAGCAAAGCCUUGCACCAGAAAUUUGUGUCACACAAAAAUAAUAAUUAUUUCGGAGCACAGCGUACGAUCUGAGUGAGUAUUCCAGAAAUAUGCAAUCUUGUUUUUAUUACCUGAACAUCUAUAUCUACUUUUGGUCAUUAGGCUUAUGGCUGCUGGCAAUUUGUCUCUGAGAGGACACAGCUGAAACUCAUCAUCAAAUGAUGGCGGAGCGUCUAUAUGGCAUUGGAUUCCUCGUCAUUAGUCGCCACUGUCUGUGGCCUCUGCUCAGCUGACUAAAUGGCGGUAGGCUUGACGAACAAAAAUAACUUGACAUAAUUGAAACAUUUGGCUGUACAUUGUCCAGACAAUUUCCACACUCCGCUCUUGAUGCGGGGGUUCUUCGGGUAGCAAGUUAAGGCGGUCUAGAUGUCAAACCCAAUUGGAAUUAUCUGCACAAAACCACAGGUGGUUCCUUUGCCCUUGACUUGUGUAGAGGAAGUUCUUAGAUCGGAUCCUCAUGCAAUUUGCUCGUCUUUGAGCGCAUACGGGUGACUGCUUGCCCGGUUCUUCGGGAUCUAUGCUGCAGACUUAUUAGAUUGGUUUGCUGAAACCUUGAGCUUGGACUCUAAUUUGUUGAAUCAGUGGACGUUUACUUGCUUAAUUUGUUUGUGUUUGUGUCCCAACUCCUGUUGUGUGGUUACCAUAUAAUUCUGUGAUUCAAUUCCCCGGUCGAGGAGCCUACAAACUGACUGAACUUCUACUUAUACAUCACAUACAUACAUAGCCACAUUUUUCUGCACAUUUUUGGUAAAUUUUCGAUUUGUAUUCGGUAAUCUGUGGUGCUCUUCUCUCAUCUAUCUCUUCCCUUCUCUGAAUUACACAAAUCAAAACAUCAACUGUCGGCUUUCGGACAACGAGUAAAUCCCAUAAUAGUCCUUCGUCC